rnacentral:rRNA from 1 species
AGUGAACGCUGGCGGUAGGCCUAACACAUGCAAGUCGAACGGCAGCACAGGAGAGCUUGCUCUCUGGGUGGCGAGUGGCGGACGGGUGAGGAAUACAUCGGAAUCUACUCUGUCGUGGGGGAUAACGUAGGGAAACUUACGCUAAUACCGCAUACGACCUACGGGUGAAAGCAGGGGAUCUUCGGACCUUGCGCGAUUGAAUGAGCCGAUGUCGGAUUAGCUAGUUGGCGGGGUAAAGGCCCACCAAGGCGACGAUCCGUAGCUGGUCUGAGAGGAUGAUCAGCCACACUGGAACGGAGAAACGGUCCAGACUCCUACGGGAGGCAGCAGUGGGGAAUAUUGGUCAAUGGGCGCAAGCCUGAUCCAGCCAUACCGCGUGGGUGAAGAAGACCUUCGGGUUGUAAAGCCCUUUUGUUGGGAAAGAAAUCCAGCUGGCUAAUACCCGGUUGGGAUGACGGUACCCAAAGAAUAAGCACCGGCUAACUUCGUGCCAGCAGCCGCAGUAA